AUUUAUAUAUACAUUUUUGCAGCUAUUUUAACAAAUAAAUCUUGGAGUUGGACUUAUUUACAACUCAAUGCCAUUAGCAUUAAAUCUUUUUUCAAAAUAAUU
rnacentral:sRNA from 1 species